GUAGGUGGCAAGCGUUGUCCGGAAUUAUUGGGCGUAAAGCGCGCGCAGGCGGGUCCUUUAAGUCUGAUGUGAAAGCCCGCGGGCUCAACCGUGGAGGGUCAUUGGAAACUGGGGGACUUGAGUACAGAAGAGGAAAGCGGAAUUCCUAGUGUAGCGGUGAAAUGCGUAGAGAUUUGGAGGAACACCAGUGGCGAAGGCGGCUUUCUGGUCUGUAACUGACGCUGAGGCGCGAAAGCGUGGGGAGCAAACAGGAUUAGAUACCCUGGUAGUCCACGCCGUAAACGAUGAGUGCUAAGUGUUAGGGGGUUUCCGCCCCUUAGUGCUGCAGCUAACGCAUUAAGCACUCCGCCUGGGGAGUACGGCCGCAAAGGCUG
rnacentral:rRNA from 1 species